rnacentral:rRNA from 1 species
CAGUAGCCGCGGUAAUACGUAGGGUGCAAGCGUUAAUCGGAAUUACUGGGCGUAAAGCGUGCGCAGGCGGUUAUAUAAGUCAGAUGUGAAAUCCCCGGGCUCAACCUAGGAACUGCAUUUGAGACUGUAUGGCUAGAGUGUGUCAGAGGGGGGUAGAAUUCCACGUGUAGCAGUGAAAUGCGUAGAUAUGUGGAGGAAUACCGAUGGCGAAGGCAGCCCCCUGGGAUAACACUGACGCUCAUGCACGAAAGCGUGGGGAGCAAACAGGAUUAGAUACCCCUGUAGUCCCUGUCUCUUAUAC